CGUCCUUCGUCCGUCGUCACCCUCCCCGACCGUACGUCGCCCCUCUCCUGUUUCGUCUAGCCACAGAUUGUCUCCCGUGCGAGAUCUGCAUACCCGCCUGCCGCGCGUCGUCCUCGCUGGCCGAACCGUCCCCGCCGGAUGGAUCCGUGCCCUUCGCAGUGGAUGUCGGUGUUCCCGCCGCGCUCGGUACCACCGUGUCGACUACUUUGAGAAGCUCGAGCAGAUCGGGGAGGGCACCUAGGGUACGCAUCUCUUGAAACUCCCCCGAUUUCCCCAAUCCCGCGUGGCCGCGUACACGCUGCAUCCUGCAUGCGCAUCGGCCCAGCUGGGUGCCCCCACUGGUUCGUUUUUUGUUGUGAUUGGUGCCAGGCAAUUGAUCGUGGAGAAGGUGGAGAAGGAGACGGAGAUGAAGGAAAUCGUGGCAGUCAAGAAUAUCCACAUGGACAACAAGCGUGAGGGCGGCUAGAGAGAGACGAGCAGGGGAAGCAAGGCCUGUGUUAAUUGUUUCUGGGAGAUUAAACUCCAGUUGCAGAUUCACUACGUCAGUUAAGAAUUUCAGAAGCUGCAUCACAACCCUAGGCUUAUAUCCAUUACAUUUUUUAAAAAUCAUAUACUACUGAAAGCUAUCAAUGUGCACUGCACAUAUUAGGAUAAUUAUUGUACUAAAUGGUGGUCAGGACAAUCUGGUUAAGCUAGGCGGAUGGUAAUGUUGGUAUCA